rnacentral:rRNA from 1 species
CAGGCCUAACACAUGCAAGUCGAACGAGGCAGCGGCCUUCGGGCCGUUGUCGAGUGGCGAACGGGUGAGUAACACGUGAGGAACCUGCCCCGGAGACCGGGAUAACCAGGGGAAACUCUGGCUAAUACCGGAUGCCCCCGGAUGGUCGCAUGGCCAACCGAGGAAACGCUCCGGUGCUCCGGGAGGGCCUCGCGGCCUAUCAGCUUGUUGGUGGGGUAACGGCCCACCAAGGCAUCGACGGGUAGCUGGUCUGAGAGGACGAUCAGCCACACUGGGACUGAGACACGGCCCAGACUCCUACGGGAGGCAGCAGUGGGGAAUAUUGCGCAAUGGGCGAAAGCCUGACGCAGCAACGCCGCGUGGGGGAUGAAGGCCUUCGGGUUGUAAACCCCUUUCAGCAGGGACGAAAAUGACGGUACCUGCAGAAGAAGCCCCGGCCAACUACGUGCCAGCAGCCGCGGUAACACGUAGGGGGCAAGCGUUGUCCGGAUUUAUUGGGCGUAAAGAGCUCGUAGGCGGUUGCGUAAGUCGGAUGUGAAAACUCAGGGCUCAACCCGGAGACGCCAUCCGAUACUGCGCUGACUAGAGUCCGGUAGAGGAGCAUGGAAUUCCUGGUGUAGCGGUGAAAUGCGCAGAUAUCAGGAGGAACACCAGUGGCGAAGGCGGUGCUCUGGGCCGGUACUGACGCUGAGGAGCGAAAGCGUGGGUAGCGAACAGGAUUAGAUACCC